AGAAGGAAGAGGUGACAAGGGGUUAUCCCACCAGGAGGAUCCUACCGGUACAUAGGAACUCUGACUUUGGGGACUUAGCACACAAGCUGCAGCUAAAACGAUGGAGAAGGCAACGAAUUAGGACGAGCCUGCACCCUAGCUUUAUUGGAUUGAGGAGGACAAUUUGAUUGGGCAAUUGUGGAACUGAAGAUCUUCUCUGUGAAAAGUGCACGUGAUGCUUACUGGAGCUGACGGAGCGUCCAAAAAUUCAGAGCUGGUCUGCACGUGAAGGCAAU